UACGUAGGGUGCGAGCGUUAAUCGGAAUUACUGGGCGUAAAGCGUGCGCAGGCGGUCUGUUAAGACCGAUGUGAAAUCCCCGGGCUUUAACCUGGGAACUGCAUUGGUGACUGGCAGGCUUUGAGUGUGGCAGAGGGAGGUAGAAUUCCACGUGUAGCAGUGAAAUGCGUAGAGAUGUGGAGGAAUACCGAUGGCGAAGGCAGCCUCCUGGGCCAACACUGACGCUCAUGCACGAAAGCGUGGGGAGCAAACAGGA
rnacentral:rRNA from 1 species